rnacentral:rRNA from 1 species
GACGAACGCUGGCGGCGUGCUUAACACAUGCAAGUCGAACGCUGAAGCUCAGCUUGCUGGGUGGAUGAGUGGCGAACGGGUGAGUAACACGUGAGUAACCUGCCCCCUUCUUUGGGAUAACGCCUGGAAACGGUUGCUAAUACUGGAUAUUCACUGAUCUUCGCAUGGGGGUUGGUGGAAAGGUUUUUUCUGGUGGGGGAUGGGCUCGCGGCCUAUCAGAUUGUUGGUGGGGUGAUGGCCUACCAAGGCUUUGACGGGUAGCCGGCCUGAGAGGGUGACCGGUCACGUUGAGACGGAGCUGAGGCCCAGACUCCUGCGGGAGGGAGAAGUGGGGAAAAUUGAGCGAUAGGUGAAAGACUGAUGCAGCGCCGCACAGUGAAAGAUGGAGGCCUUCGGGUUGUAAAGCUCUUUCGCUCAUAGUAAAGCCGAAACAUUGGUUGUGGUGAGGGUAGUGGGUAAAGAAGCGCCGGCUAACUACGUG